GAUGAACGCUGGCGGCGUGCCUAAUACAUGCAAGUCGAGCGAACGGACGAGAAGCUUGCUUCUCUGAUGUUAGCGGCGGACGGGUGAGUAACACGUGGAUAACCUACCUAUAAGACUGGGAUAACUUCGGGAAACCGUAGCUAAUACCGGAUAAUAUUUUGAACCGCAUGGUUCAAAAGUGAAAGACGGUCUUGCUGUCACUUAUAGAUGGAUCCGCGCUGCAUUAGCUAGUUGGUAAGGUAACGGCUUACCAAGGCAACGAUGCAUAGCCGACCUGAGAGGGUGAUCGGCCACACUGGAACUGAGACACGGUCCAGACUCCUACGGGAGGCAGCAGUAGGGAAUCUUCCGCAAUGGGCGAAAGCCUGACGGAGCAACGACGCGUGAGUGAUGAAGGUCUUCGGAUCGUAAAACUCUGUUAUUAGGGAAGAGCAUAUGUGUAAGUAACUGUGCACAUCUUGACGGUACCUAAUCAGAAAGCCACGGCUAACUACGUG
rnacentral:rRNA from 1 species